GACAUCUUGUUGGAGGAUUAACAAGAAUUGAGAUUAGAUGUCCUUUUAUUGCUUAUAGGUUUCAAGGUGGUGCUUUUCUUUUUCAUUUUUCACAGAUUCUGCUUUUCCUUUACCCCUUGAGAGAUUCUACUUUUCCUCUUUCCCCUAGUGUGGUUGCUCUGAUGUUGUUACAGAUGAAUUGUUCGGGUUUAUUUUUUCCUUGCAUGGG
rnacentral:misc_RNA from 1 species